rnacentral:rRNA from 1 species
AGUGAACGCUGGCGGUAGGCCUAACACAUGCAAGUCGAACGGCAGCACAGUAAGCUCUUGCUCUUACGGGUGGCGAGUGGCGGACGGGUGAGGCAUACAUCGGAAUCUACUUUUUCGUGGGUGAUAACGUAGGACAACUUACGCUACUACCGCAUACGACCUACGGGUGAAAGCAGUGGAUCUUCGGACCUUUCGCGUUUUAAUUAGCCGAUGUCGGAUUAGCUAGUUGGCGGGGUAAAGGCCCACCAAGGCGACGAUGCGUAGCUGGUCUGAGAGGAUGAUCAGCCACACUGGAACUGAGACACGGUCCAGACUCCUACGGGAGGCAGCAGUGGGGAAUAUUGGACAAUGGGCGAAAGCCUGAUCCAGCCAUACCGCGUGGGUGAAGAAGGUCUUCGGGUUGUAAAGCUCUUUUGUUGGGAAAGAAAAGCAGAAGGUGAAUACCUCGAUGUUCUGACGGUACCCAAAGAAUAAGCACCGGCUAACUUCGUG